rnacentral:rRNA from 1 species
AUUGAACGCUGGCGGCAGGCCUAACACAUGCAAGUCGAGCGGAUGAAGGGAGCUUGCUCCUGGAUUCAGCGGCGGACGGGUGAGUAAUGCCUAGGAAUCUGCCUGGUAGUGGGGGAUAACGUCCGGAAACGGGCGCUAAUACCGCAUACGUCCUGAGGGAGAAAGUGGGGGAUCUUCGGACCUCACGCUAUCAGAUGAGCCUAGGUCGGAUUAGCUAGUUGGUGGGGUAAAGGCCUACCAAGGCGACGAUCCGUAACUGGUCUGAGAGGAUGAUCAGUCAAGCUGGAACUGAGAAACGGCCAGGACUCGACGGGGAGCAGGAAGGGGGGAUUAUUGAAGACGGGGGGAAAGCUGAACCGACCAUGGCGGGGGUGGUGAGAAAGGUAUCCGGUUUGUAAGGAAUUUUUAUUGGGGAGGAAGGGCGGUAAGUUAAUACUUUGCUGUUUGGACUUUACCAAAAAAAAAAGCCCCGGCUAACUUCGUG